rnacentral:rRNA from 1 species
UACGGAGGGGACUAGCGUUGUUCGGAAUUACUGGGCGUAAAGCGCACGUAGGCGGAUUUGUAAGUCAGGGGUGAAAUCCCGGGGCUCAACCUCGGAACUGCCUUUGAUACUGCAAAUCUCGAGUCCGGAAGAGGUGAGUGGAAUUCCUAGUGUAGAGGUGAAAUUCGUAGAUAUUAGGAAGAACACCAGUGGCGAAGGCGGCUCACCUGGAUCGGUACUGACGCUGAGACGCGAAAGCGUGGGGAGCGAACAGG